AGGCAGGAACCACGCUGAUAGAGCUACUGAGCUAUUGACGUGUUCCACCCUUCAAGAAAAAGGAAGAGUGUGCUGGGCCCAGAGGACGAAGCCUUGAACCACAGAGGAUUCUUCUCAGGCCGCCCAGUUUGUGGUAUUCUGCUACAGCAGCCCCAGAACCAUAUGUCUCCAUCUACUUUGCAGACAGGCCAGGAAACGAACCGCCCUCUAAAGCAUCACUUCCAUUGGAAAAUGCAGCAGAAGGUCCAAACAACUCCAUAUGAGACUUCACAAGGCUGUGCAUUCUCUGCUUGUCCUCACCUUCCGUGGUAGGAGAACCCAGUGCCCGCACCCCACCUGCCACUCCUUUCCAGGGCACCUGCCCCGAGCCUCUAAAAAAGGGUCCAGCCUCAUUAAUCCCAGCACCAGCUCCACUGACCAGAAGUGGGAACAGAACAGCCGCUGCGUGGGGGGAGCCGCGUGAGUGUGGCGGAGAGGCAUGGGCAGCAGGCUUGGGCUGUUUGCACAUCCUGGGAGGGCCGAUCCUCCUUUAUGGAUAGCUGGGUUUCUGCAUCCUGCCCUUUACUCACUCUGGGGAACAUGCCCUAGACCUACUAACCCUCCAGCCUCCAGAAGAGAUAGAUGGCGGAAAUGAGUUGCCGUUCCCUAGCUCACACCUCCCUCCCCAGGGUGAGAGAAAGGGCCAGAGGUUGUGAUAGAAGAUGAAGGUAAAAUGCAGAGGUCACUGAGGAACCAGUGCCGCCUCGGACCUGGUGGGAGAGCACAUGGCACAGUGUGGCACUACCGCACCCCAGGACAGCAGCUGCUCAUGGUGCGACGGCCUGAAUAUGGCUGCCUACCCAGCGAGAGCCCAGGACGUGAGCCAGGCUCAAAGAACACAGCCUUGACCAUGGUCGUGCUCACAGCUCCCCACUCCUGAAGCCGGGAUCUCCUCACCUGGACGCUGCACACGGGCCUUGAGUGGCUCCUGGGUUGACAAGCAGCCCCUGCUGUCUUUGAAUUGAUGCCUUCUCUGCUCCUGCUGGUCUGUUUCUCACUGAGGAGGCUGAGGGACGAGACUAGGCAGUCCUUCUGGGAAGCAGGACCACCCUCGUCUUCAGACUAGCUGAAGGACCAACCUUGUGGCUUUUUACUUUCAAAAUGAAUCAGGGAAAAUUACCUCCUGGGUAAACCCACUGCUGUUCUGUUUCCAGAUGGGUGCCAAAAGCUUGAGAUACUAUGUGGC
ensembl:lncRNA